GACGUAGGGAGCAAGCGUUGUCCGGAAUUACUGGGCGUAAAGAGCUCGUAGGCGGGAGCGUACGUCUGAGAGGAAAUCUCAAGGCUCAACUUUGGGGCUUUCUCAGAUACGGCGCUUCUUGAGUGUAAGAGAGGAAAGCAGAAUUCCCGGUGUAGCGGUGAAAUGCGUAGAUAUCGGGAGGAAUACCAGUGGCGAAGGCGGCUUUCUGGCUUACUACUGACGCUGAGGAGCGAAAGCGUGGGGAGCGAACGGGAUUAGAUACCCCGGUAGUCCACGCCGUAAACGAUGGAUACUAGGUGUAGGAGGUAUCGACCCCUUCUGUGCCGCAGUUAACACAUUAAGUAUCCCGCCUGGGGAGUACGGUCGCAAGGCUGAA
rnacentral:rRNA from 1 species